UUCAUCUAGAACAAGGAAAUGUUUGGAAAGCCAGUGAGACUUUCGAAGGCUUUACAAGAAACAAUAUAUUAAAAAAAAAGAAAGAAAACCUUUCUAAGAGAUGUAUCUAGUAGAUAUCACAGGGUAAGAGUAGGGCUAGCUAUUGAAUAGUUUCACAGAAACAGGUCAGCAGGGUGUUCGCUUCAAUGUCAGGUUAUUAGUAUCUCCUUGCCAUCCCCUUAUUGCUACAGUUGUGAAGCAAUUAGCAUGGCAUGAGCCUGUCCACAGAGCAGGAGAUAAAAGCAUGAAAAUGCUGUGACUGAAGUUUAGGUUAUAAUAAUAAUAAUAAUGAAGCAACCACCCCCCUUAAACCUCCUCUGCAUUUUACCUGUAGAAAUCUACAUUGCUGUAGAUUCAAGAGACUAGAAUUUGCAAAUGGGAGAUCUUCUAUGUCUAAUUAAAGAUCUUACUUGUAAGAGCCGUUUCCAAACCUACACACAUAAGGCCUCACUGGACUUUUGCUCGAGUUACACCUGCAGGAGUUGGUCACUACUGUGUUAAUGAACGUUAGACAUAAUCUUUCCCAGAGAAUCUGGAAAUCUGAAAAAUCUGUGUUACAACUCGAAAGAUGGAUUCCAGUGUUACAUUUAGACUUCCUAUUUAACCUUGGAAAGAUUAUUAUAAGUAAGUUUUCCACAUUUAAAUUUUAGAACUCAUGUUGUUUACUAGAUCAUUUUGCAAGUGGAAAAUGUUUUAGCGACCUUAUUUACAACGUUUGGAUUGCAACUUUUCCCCCUUUUUGGCAGUGUUGUCUAGAGGAGACUGCUAAAAUGCUCACAAUCUCCUUUCCACCUCCUUCCCCCGAGCAGAAAAAGUCUGCUUCUCGGGGGCAGAUGCCUCCGCGGCCCAGCGUCAUGCUUCCCCCCAUGCAGGAUGCGUGCGUGCUCCCUCGCUUCGCGGGCUCCGCAGACAGCACAGCUGGACUUGCCCGCACCACCUCUGAGCUGGUGAGGAAGGACUGCCUUGCUACUACGUAUAUUCUAGGUCUGACCACAGUGUGCUAAAUAAACAAUGAAUAGAGAAAAACUACGCCACUGAAAAAAGAGAGUUUAGAUCAGUUUCUUCAGUGACACUUAAUGAAACGAUGAAAACUGACACUGCACAAAAGUCAACCUGGCUCAAGGAAAAAAAAGUAACCUACCAAGGCUCCGAGGGACAUUGGUAAUCUCUGCUUGUAUUAGUCUAGCUUCAGAGUCAGGGCUGUCUGUUACUGUGGCAUUCAGGAAAGCAACUCCAAAUUCAAUAUCGUUAAUGUUUCCAAUGACGCUCCCUUUGGCACGUGGGGGCCCACCUGUGCAGGGGAGGGAAGGGAGGAAGGAAAAAAUGCCCCUAUGUGAAAACACUGCCCUCACAUAAUUUGGGGGAGAGAAAAUUCAGAAAUAGUGCCCAGCACUUUAAGAAAUCAGAGUUCUGUGGAUAUUUCUGCAUGUAUUAGAUUAACUACGAGAACUACACAACCUGCAAAAAAACAGGAUCCCGUAUGAUUUGAGAGAUAGGCAUGACAGCACAGGAGUCACACCAGGCACUACAAAAGCACACUGCCCUCUCUCUGAGAAAGCAACAGUUGUCUAACAGUGUACUCUAGUGCUACAUAACAAGUUACAAGAACAACAACAGAUUUAUCCAGACGAAGUUGGGCGAGUGAUUUAGGCUGAAAGAAUGUAAUUACUUGCUCAGGAAACUGGUCAAGACACUGGGCAGCACCGGUCAGAUCAGAAGCACAGCAGGCCUUGACUGCAUUCUCAUCCUUGUUGUGUGCAGGCUACAAAUUAACUUACCAGGACAUGCUUGGAUAUUACACCUAGAUAUCUGGGAAGAGUCGCCAGGACAGGGACGUCCACGAUUUGACGGUGCUGGAUUGUUGCACAGGCGUACUCGGGUCUGUUCUCCUCCUCCGCAAGAAGCAGAGCAUUGGCUCCAUGUUUGCCACUGCCCCCAGUUUCCAUCCACUGAAUACGGAAAAAGUAAAGAAAGCAACUUGAUAUUUUUAA